rnacentral:misc_RNA from 1 species
AUCAGGCCUGACGAUUGUGCCGGUUUUAUUUAUACCUGGAAGGUACGACGUACUAACAAUCAGGCAAAGGUGUACAAAUAUGCACUGAUGUGUAUUUUAUGUAUGCGAUCAUGUACAAUUUUUGUCAUUUUUAAAAUUCCACACUCCACUUCAGCGUCACAAUCAGGGUGCAAUCGAGAGUCAUGAUUAUCAGGCCUGACGAUUGUGCCGGUUUUAUUUAUACCUGGAAGGUACGACGUACUUACAAUCAGGCAAAGAUGUACAAAUAUGCACUGAUAUGUAUUUUAUGUAUGCGAUUAUGUACAAUUUUUGUCGUCUUGAUUGUGAGCUUAUACCUCCGCUGGAAAUCGGUGGGUCCAAGCGUAUUCGGAUCUUUCAAUCCUCCAAAUUCUUUAAUGGCAAUCAAUCGUGAAACACGCGAACUGAAAUUCAGUAAACGACGAACACCGAUAAUUGAAACGUACCGAACUCUGAAACUCGUGAGCGGUCUAAGACCUGCUCAAAUGUAAAAUUAUAAAUAGCUCGUUUUAUUUUGAAACGAAACAGACGCGGAACACCAGUGAUAACAAAGAGCACAUCUAAGGCUGUCGAGACUAGAAGAAGACAAGCAUAGAAACAUUGACACAUGUGUUUCCACGGGCACACGUAUUAUACACGUGUUGUGUUAUAAAACACAAUAGCCCUUUGCAAUUGAAAUGCGUCACGUGCUAUCAGAAGCUCAGAGGUACGAGGUGAAAUAAUUUUCUUCAAUUAAAGAGCGACACUCGCCAGACACGGUUGAAAACUAAUUUGUUACAAGACCGCCUGUAAAGUCCACAGUUAUAUUCAUGCGGUCGAAUUGACUGUUCAACACCGUCUCCUCAUGGAAACCAUUUUCAAUUUAGCGAUCUCCAUCUCUAUAUGGGCUCUGGAAUCGGUAUCUUCAGGGCUCGGCCCUCCAGCAUCUCCUGAAGGAGCACUCCGAUUUCCUGUUCAAUUAUAAUUAUGUUUAUAUUAUCGAUGAAAAAA